CGAUGUAAGGUAUAUUGCUAGAACUCGUUGUUCACCUUCUAUUAUUACCUGAGAGUAAUUACCGAGGACCUAAAAUAGUUAUUGAUAAUUAAUUAACGAUGAAUAUUAUUUCGAUAAAGGUAAUUUGUAAUUUGAAUCAAUUGUCAGCAGCGUUCAUUAGAAAAUAAACAAAGUUUAUUUGAAGUUAAUGAAUUAUUAUAUUAUUCAUGAAGAUAAUAUUCAAUAAAUAAAAUGGAACAACAAAAAAUACAGCGGCGAAGAAAGAAGUUUCUAUUGGUCAGAAUCUCUAUGAAUGAAAUAAUCAAAGGAAUUUUCAUCCCUUUAAGAUCGAUAUCACUGGAAUUCUGAAUACAAAGAAUCAUGCCGAUUGCCUAAUGAAGCUUCAAUAUACUGCCGAAUUAUCAGUAGUAAUUGCACAAGAGCUCUGAAAUUAUUGAAUUUUUCCCGAGUGACACUUUGACAGUUUUAAUUUCACGACCCGAAGGGGAGUGAAAUUAUGUCAAAGUGUCACGAGCGCAAAAAUUCUAUAUUAAUUUUAGAGGUCGAGUGCAAUUUGUUGCGAUUAUUUCAUGAAUAAAACUGUUCAAAACCAAAA